rnacentral:rRNA from 1 species
CAGCCGCCGCGGUAAUACGUAGGGUGCGAGCGUUAAUCGGAUUUACUGGGCGUAAAGCGUGCGCAGGCGGCCCGUUAAGACAGGUGUGAAAUCCCUGGGCUCAACCUAGGAAUUGCGCUUGUGACUGGCGGGCUCGAGUACGGUAGAGGGGGGUGGAAUUCCUGGUGUAGCAGUGAAAUGCGUAGAGAUCAGGAGGAACACCGAUGGCGAAGGCAGCCCCCUGGGCCUGUACUGACGCUCAUGCACGAAAGCGUGGGGAGCAAACAGGAUUAGAUAACCUGGUAGUCCACGCCCUAAACGAUGGGUACUAGCCGUUUGGUGCGCGAGAGCGCUGAGUGGCGAAGCUAACGCGUGAAGUACCCCGCCUGGGGAGUACGGCCGCAAGGUUGAAACUUAAAGGAAUUGGCGGG